CAAGGGGUAGCUUACACCCAACCCAAAAGCACCUAGCUUACACCUAGACGACGCGGCUCUCCUGCCCCCUUGAG
rnacentral:tRNA from 1 species